AUUGAACGCUGGCGGCAUGCCUUACACAUGCAAGUCGAACGGCAGCGCGGGCUUCGGCCUGGCGGCGCGUGGCGGACGGGUGAGUAAUGCAUCGGAACGUGCCCAGCAGUGGGGGAUAGGCCGGCGACAGCCGGAUUAAUACCGCAUACGACCUGAGGGUGAAAGCGGGGGACCGAAAGGCCUCGCGCUUUUUGAGCGCCCGAUGUCGGAUUAGCUAGUUGGUGUGGUAAAGGCUUACCAAGGCGACGAUCCGUAGCUGGUCUGAGAGGACGACCAGCCACACUGGGACUGAGACACGGCCCAGACUCCUACGGGAGGCAGCAGUGGGGAAUUUUGGACAAAGGGGGCAACCCUGAUCCAGCCAUGCCGCGUGCGGGAAGAAGGCCUUCGGGUUGUAAACCGCUUUUGUUCGGGAAGAAAUCCUCUGGGCUAAUACCCCGGGGGGAUGACGGUACCGGAAGAAUAAGCACCGGCUAACUACGUG
rnacentral:rRNA from 1 species